GGCGUAGUUCAGUGGCAAUGUCAUAGCCUAUGAGGUUCAUUCCGAGGUCCGAUUAUUGCUAGUUGAAGACUUAACCCUAUUCCCGCUUUGACAACUUGAAAUAUAGUCAGUAAUGGCAAUUUAUGAUUGUCUCUCCGGAGA